AUUGAACGCUGGCGGCAGGCCUAACACAUGCCAGUCGAGCGGAUGAAGGGAGCUUGCUCCUGGAUUCAGCGGCGGACGGGUGAGUAAUGCCUAGGAAUCUGCCUGGUAGUGGGGGAUAACGUCCGGAAACGGGCGCUAAUACCGCAUACGUCCUGAGGGAGAAAGUGGGGGAUCUUCGGACCUCACGCUAUCAGAUGAGCCUAGGUCGGAUUAGCUAGUUGGUGGGGUAAAGGCCUACCAGGGCGACGAUCCGUAACUGGUCUGAGAGGAUGAUCAGUCACACUGGAACUGAGACACGGUCCAGACUCCUACGGGAGGCAGCAGUGGGGAAUAUUGGACAAUGGGCGAAAGCCUGAUCCAGCCAUGCCGCGUGUGUGAAGAAGGUCUUCGGAUUGUAAAGCACUUUAAGUUGGGAGGAAGGGCAGUAAGUUAAUACCUUGCUGUUUUGACGUUACCAACAGAAUAAGCGCCGGCUAACUUCGUG
rnacentral:rRNA from 1 species